rnacentral:tRNA from 1 species
CAGGGCGUAGUUCAGAUGGGAGAACGCCGGAAUCGGGGUCCGGAGGUCGAGGGUUCAAGUCCCUCCGCCCUGACCA